rnacentral:lncRNA from 10 species
UUGUAACUUCUUAGGCAAGCAAUUGAUAUAGUAAAAAUGAAUUAUGUGUUCAUAAACAAUGUAAAAGAUAAAAAACAUUUUCUUUUGAUAUUUUUGACCAUAAAAUUUUAGGCAUCUGAAGAGUAAGUGCUAUUGUGUCAAAGCCACUGACUCUCUGGGAUGAAUUAAAAUUCUAAACUGGUAGGGAAAAGGUCAGGGAAACUUUUUCUACCUGAGUUUGGGGCAGAUCUAAAAAUCUGUCACAACUUCCCAACUAUGCUAUUGUGGAUCAAAAGCAGCUAUAGACAAUAUGUAAAUGAAUUAGCAUGGCUGUGUCCUAAUAAAAGUUUAUUUAUGGGGACAGGCGUGGUGGCUCACACCUGUAA